rnacentral:tRNA from 1 species
UUAGCUCAGUGUCAUGAGCGCCUGCCUUGCAAGCAGGCAGUCAUGAGUUCAAUCCCCAGUA